rnacentral:rRNA from 1 species
GGGGAGGCAGCAGUGGGGGAAUAUUGCACAAUCGGGCGCAAGCCUGAUGCAGCCAUGCCGCGUGUGUGAAGAAGGCCUUCGGGUUGUAAAGCACUUUCAGUCGUGAGGAAGGUAGUGUAGUUAAUAGCUGCAUUAUUUGACGUUAGCGACAGAAGAAGCACCGGCUAACUCCGUGCCAGCAGCCGCGGUAAUACGGAGGGUGCGAGCGUUAAUCGGAAUUACUGGGCGUAAAGCGCAUGCAGGUGGUUUGUUUAAGUCAGAUGUGAAAGCCCGGGGCUCAACCUCGGAAUAGCAUUUGAAACUGGCAGACUAGAGUACUGUAGAGGGGGGUAGGAAUUUUCAGGUGUAGCGGUGAAAUGCGUAGAGAUCUGAAGGAAUACCGGUGGCGAAGGCGGCCCCCUGGACAGAUACUGACACUCAGAUGCGAAAGCGUGGGGAGCAAACAGGAUUAGAUACCCUGGUAG